rnacentral:rRNA from 1 species
CAGCCGCCGCGGGAAUACGUAGGUGGCAAGCGUUGUCCGGAAUUAUUGGGCGUAAAGGGCUCGCAGGCGGUUUCUUAAGUCUGAUGUGAAAGCCCCCGGCUCAACCGGGGAGGGUCAUUGGAAACUGGGAAACUUGAGUGCAGAAGAGGAGAGUGGAAUUCCACGUGUAGCGGUGAAAUGCGUAGAGAUGUGGAGGAACACCAGUGGCGAAGGCGGCUUUUUGGCCUGUAACUGACACUGAGGCGCGAAAGCGUGGGGAGCAAACAGGAUUAGAUACCCCGGUAGUCCCUGUCUCUUAUAC